rnacentral:sRNA from 1 species
UUGCUAUCUGCGAUAUGGAAGAUUCGAACCUGCCGCAGGUUCGGGUCGAACGCAGUGAGACAACGGAGCCGUUUACGGCAACGGCCCGUAGGGCGAGGCGAAGCCGAUUCAUCCUGCACGACCCACCA